UCAGCUGGAUUUAGCAGUCCCACGACCUCGUCUCCAGCUGUGGAUUGUCUUUCCGCCUCCCGGCGCCUCUCCCACCUGGGGGUGAAGCCAGAGCUUCCUGCCGACAUGGAGCAAGGACAAGAGAAAGGUGUAAAAGGAGGCUGACCAAGGCCUGUUCCUGCUGGCCCAUGCUGCUCACCAGAAGCUCUGUGGAACUGUGGAAAAUGUGUCCCUGGCCCUCCUUUCAGCACUGGGCUGAGAUCAGACUCCCUCUUGAGAGGCCCUGGAUUCAAUUGAGGAAUGUUAUUUGGAGAAUAUAGAAACUUGUAGACAGGGGAGACAUUUGGGAAG
rnacentral:lncRNA from 1 species